rnacentral:lncRNA from 1 species
UGGUGGAGAAUCACCAGGAAGUUGAAUAAAUCUCAUAGGAGCUGGGAUGAAGAAGUUAUCCCACUUUCAAAUCCGGUGAUUCCAGUUUUCCAGUUUGGGAAUAUGACAGCUUCUUCGUCGUUCCAAUCAAACCAAGAUGAAUCACUUUGUAAGAAACUUUAUUUGGAUACAUAAAGUGGUCUAGAAUAACCAGGAAGUUGAAUAAAUCUCAUAGGAGUUGAGAGGAAGAAGUUAUCCCACUUUUAAAUCAGGUGAUUCCAGUUUCCCACUUUGGGAAUUGGACAGCUUCUGUGUCGUUCCAAUCAAACCAGGGUGAAUCACUUUGUAAGAAGCUUGAUUUGGAUACAUAAAGGGGCCGGGAAUCACCAGGAAGUUGAAUAAAUCUCAUAGGAACUGAGAUGAAGAAGUUAUCCCACUUUCAAAUCAGGUGAUUCCAGUUUGGAAAUAUGACAGUUUCUUCGUCGUUCCAAUCAAACCACGAUGAAUCACUUUGUAAGAAUCUUGAUUUGGAUACAUAAAGUGGUGGAGAAUCACCAGGAAAUUGAAUAAAUCUCGUAGGAGCUGGGAUGAAGAAGUUAUCCCACUUUCAAAUCAGGUGAUUCCAGUUUCGCAGUUUGGGAAUAGGACACCUUCUUUGUCGUUACAAUCAAACCAGGAUGAAUCAUUUUUUAAGAAGCUUGAUUUGGAUACAUAA